rnacentral:rRNA from 1 species
CAGUUAUAGUUUAUUUGAUAAUCGAAAGUUACAUGGAUAACCGUGACAAAUUACAGCUAAUACAUGCAUUAAGACCUGGUCCAAGGGUCGUAAUUAUUAGAUAUUAAACCUCUUCCUACGGGAGUGUGACGAAUCAUAGUAAUCGAACGAAUCGCACAAUAGUGCGAUAAAUCAUUCAAGUUUCUGCCCUAUCAGCUUUGGAUGGUAGUGUAUUGGACUACCAUGGCAGUCACGGGUAACGGAGAAUUAGGGUUCGAUUCCGGAGAGGGAGCCUGAGAAACGGCUACCACAUCUACGGAAGGCAGCAGGCGCGAAAAUUGCCCAAUCCUGACACAGGGAGGCAGUGACAAGAAAUAACUACCCCAGGAUUUCUUGGGAGUGUAAUGAGGAUAAUUUACAAACCUUACCGAAAGCAAUUGGAGGGCAAGUCUGGUGCCAGCAGCCGCGGUAAUUCCAGCUCCAAUAGCGUAUAUUAAAGUUGUUGCAGUUAAAAAGCUCGUAGUUGAAAUUCUGGUUGCUAGGAUGACUAGUCCUCGGACGGUUAUACCUACAAUCAUCCGCUUGUAAACAUAUGUCCACUCUUCACUGCGUGCCUAUGUGAGCAAGCAUUUUACCUUGAGAAAAACAGAGUGUUCCAGGCAGGUAUGUCCGGAAUGCAUUAGCAUGGAAUAAUAGAAUACGACUGAAGUCUAUUUAUUGGUUUAGGGCUACAGUAAUGAUUAAUAGGAACAGUCGGGGGCAUUAGUACUUGACAGUCAGAGGUGAAAUUCUUGGAUUUGUCAAAGACUAACUAAUGCGAAAGCAUUUGUCAAGGAUGUUUUCAUUAAUCAAGAACGAAAGUUAGGGGAUCAAAGACGAUCAGAUACCGUCCUAGUCUUAACUAUAAACUAUACCGACUCGGAUUCAGAUGAAUUGUAAAGUUCAUUUGGGACCGUAAGAGAAAUCAAAGUCUUUGGGUUCUGGGGGGAGUAUGGUCGCAAGGCUGAAACUUAAAGGAAUUGACGGUUUUGCACCACCAUGGAGUGGAGCCUGCGGCUUAAUUUGACUCAACACUGGGAAACUCAUCAGGGCAAGAAGAUUGUAGGAUUGACAGAUUGAGAGUUCUUUCUUGAUUGGUCUAGUGGUGGUGCAUGGCCGUUCUUAGUUGGUGGAGUGAUUUGUCUGGUUAAUUCCGUUAACGAACGAGACCUUAACCUGCUAACUAGUACAGUUAUCUCCAAUAGCUGUUACUUCUUAGAGGGACUAUGUGUUGUAAACACAUGGAAGUUUGAGGCAAUAACAGGUCUGUGAUGCCCUUAGAUGUCCUGAGCCGCACGCGUGCUACAAUGACACAUUCAACGAGUAUUUCCUGAUCCGAAAGGAUUUGGGUAAUCUUUUUAGUGUGUGUCGUGUUAGGGAUAGAUCUUUGUAAUUAUGGAUCUUGAACGAGGAAUUCCUAGUAAGCGCAAGUCAUCAGCUUGUGCUGAUUACGUCCCUGCAAAAUGUACACACCGCCCGUCGCUAUUGCCGAUUGAGUGCUCAGGUGAACCUUCUUGAUUGUCGCAAGACGAAAAAUUAAGUAAACCUUAGCACU